rnacentral:lncRNA from 1 species
GGUACUGGGUGACACUGGUACUGGGUGAUACUGGCACUGGGUGACACCAGGACCGGAUGACACCAGGACCCGGUGACACUGGUACUGGGUGACACCGGUACUGGGUGAUACUGGCACUGGGUGACACCAGGACCGGAUGACACCAGGACCCGGUGACACCGGCACUGGGUGAUACUGGCACUUGGUGACACCAGGACCCGGUGACAUUGGUACUGGGUGACACCGUUACUGGGUGACACCGGCACCGGGUGACUCCGGCACCAGGUGACACCAGUACCAGAUGGCACCAAUACUGGGUUACACCAAUACCGAGUGACACCAGUGCCAGGUGACACCAGGACCUGGUGACAAUGGUACUGGAUGACACCGGUACUGGGUAACACCAAUACUGGGUGACACUGGCACCAAAUAACACCGACACUGGGUGACACUGGUCCCGGGUGGCACAGGCACUGGGUGACACCAUUACCAGGUGACACUGGUACUGGGUGACACUGGUACCAGGUGACACCAGCACUAAGUGACACCAACACCAGUUGACACCAGUACCGGGUGACACCAGGCUGACACAGCCACCAAGUGACACCGGCACCAGUGAACCAUGCAACCGGGUGACACCAGCACCAAGUGACACCAGCACCGGGGAACUGGGUGACACAGCCACCGGGUGACACAGCCACCGGGUGCCACAGCCCCCAGACCCCACCAGACGCCACCAGACGACCCCCGCCGGGUGCCGCGGCCCCCAGGUGAGCCCCCCCCGCGCGCCCCCCGCUCACCGCGGGUGUUGUUGCUGUUGGUGUAUGUGAAGACGCUGUCCCGCGUCGUGUCCUCGUCCUCGUGCCGCCGGCGCGCGGCGAACGCCGCCUCCCAGCCCGCCGCCAUUGCUGCUGCUGCUGCUGCUGCCGNNNNNNNNNNCACGGCCCCCAGACCCCACCAGACGCCACCAGAUGACCCCCGCCGGGUGCCGCGGCCCCCAGGGGCUCCUCCCGCAGAACACCAGCUUCAGCAUGCACGAGCGGAACUGCGGCCAUGGGGCACGGCGCCGUGACCCACGGCACCCAGACCCACGGCACCCAGACCCAUAGCGACACCCAGACCCAUGGCACCCAGACCCAUGGCACCCAGAUCCAUAGAGGUACCGUGACCCAUAGUGACCCCAUGACCCAUAGUGACACCGGGACCCAGAGGUACCGUGACCCAUAGCGAUGCUGAGAUCCAUAGUGACAUUGUGACCCACAGCAUCGACCCAUAGCGACCCCAUGACCCAUAGUGACCUUGUGACCCAUAGCGACACUGUGACCCAUAGAACCAGGACCCAUAGCGACACCAUGACCCAUAGCGACACCGUGACCCAUAGCAUCGACCCAUAGAACUGGGACCCAUAGCGGCACCGUGACCCAUGGUGACCCCGUGACCCACAGGGUGACGCCGGCCACUGGGGUGUCCUCUGCUGGGGGGGCUGGGGGGACUGGGAGG